CUUUUCCUUCCCUUUCUUCCCUCCUCCUCCAUCAUCCUCUCCCAUUGCUUCUUUGAUAGCUUUAGCUCUCUUCUUUCCAAGAGGAGUCUUGUUAAACCAAGCCUACAUUAACAAAAAAGAUUAUUUUUAGUAACAAGGUUCUCAGUAUUAAUUUGCAUCAACACUGUUUGAGACCUCCCUCAAUGACGUUUAAAGAACUGCUCAGAAAUUCAAAAGAACUUUCAGAAAAAAGAAAUGAAGCAUAUGAAAAACAGCUAUUAAUGUAUCAGCAACAAGUUAGUGAAGCAGUCCAAGAGAACAAAGUAGCCAGAAGGAAUAUAAGAAAUGAGACACAGAAGCUCCUAAAGCAGAGGAAUGAGGUGACAAUAGAGGCAGAGAAGAUAA